AGGGCUAUAGCUCAGUUGGUAGAGCACCUCGUUUACACGCGAGCAGGUCUACGGUUCGAGUCCGUAUAGCCCUA
rnacentral:tRNA from 1 species